rnacentral:lncRNA from 1 species
UGUAUGCAGAUGUCGUUGCUCUCAUAAUAAUAAUAAUAAUAAUAAUAAUAAUAAUAAUAAUAAUAAUAAUAAUUUGAAGUAGGUGUUAUAUUCUGAGCAUUCUCAAAAAUUCUGGGCUUAGAUGAAUGGGAAUACCUCUGGAAAGUAAAAAUCAAAAAUUUUCAGAAGCUAUUCCCUUCUAGAAAAUGUCUACAAAAUGUUUUAUCAAUCCUAUAUGACAUUAGCCAAAAUGCAACCACAAUUAAAAAAAACACUUGCUGGAAAUGUAAACAAGCAACAGGAUCAUUUUUCCACAUGUGGUGGACUUGUAAGAAGGCAAAAAAAAAAAAAAACUUUUGGAUUGAGAUCCAUAAAACUACUGAAAAAAUAUUAAAGCUAAAAAUCCUGGGCUUAUUUUCAGAAUAGGUGUUAUUUUUGGGGAAACAGGGUAUACAGUAGAGUCUCGCUUAUCCAAGGUUCUGGAUUAUCCAAGCCAAUUUUGUAGUCAAUAUUUUCAAUAUAUCGUGAUAUUUUGGUGCUAAAUUCGUAAAUACGGUAAUUACAACGUAACAUUCCUGUGUAUUGAACUACUUUUUCUGUCAAAUUUGUUGUAUAACAUGAUGUUUUGGUGCUUAAUUUGUAAAAUCAUAACCUAAUUUGAAGUUUAAUAGGCUUUUCCUUAAUCCCUCAUUAUCCAAGAUAUUCGCUUAUGCAAGCUUCUGCCGGCCUGUUUAGCUUGGAUAAGUGAGACUCUACUGUAUACGUAAAAAUCCAAGUGUGAAUUUUGCACAAAACAGGCCUGAACUGUGAAUCCUCUUUCAAAUCCUAUGCAUUUUAAAAACCCCAGAGGGUUUUUAAUAAUCUAUAUUGCAUUACUGUUUUAUCUGUUUUAUACUGUGAUUGUAUUAUGUUGCUUAUAUUUUGUCCAGAUAUGCUGGAUUUCAUAUCACAAAAUCACAAGUCGAACACUUCCCAAGUGUCUAGGACUGUGUGAUGUAUUUUCGGAUGAUGCGCGCAGAUCCCAGCAGGGUGGCCUUUUGCAGCUGGCAGAUCGUAAUUUUGUCAAUGUCUAUUGUUUCCAAAUGCCGGCUGAGAUCUUUUGGCACACCUGGGAUGGCGACAUCAAUGAUCCAAACCUUUUUCUUUUCCACAACUGUGAUGUCUGGUGUGUUGUGUUCCAGAACUUUGUCAGUCUGGAUUCGGAAGUCCCACAGUAUCUUUGCGUGCUCAUUUUCCAAUACUUUUGCAGGUUUGUGAUCCCACCAGUUCUUUGCUGCUGGCAGGUGGUACUUGAGGCAUAAGUUCCAAUGAAUCAUUUGGGCCACAUAGUUGUGCCUCUGUUUGUAGUCUGUCUGUGCGAUUUUCUUACAGCAGCUUAGGAUAUGAUCAAUAGUUUCAUCAGUUUCCUUGCAGAGUCUGCAUUUUGGGUCAUCAGCUGAUUUUUCGAUCUUAGCCUGAAUUGCCUUUGUUCUGAUGGCUUGCUCCUGGGCUGCAAGGAUCAGGCCUUCUGUCUCCUUCUUCAGGGUCCCAUUCGUGAGCCAGAGCCAGGUCUUCUAUUAUUAUUAUUAUUAUUAUUAUUAAUUGCCUUUGUUCUGAUGGCUUGCUCCUGGGCUGCAAGGAUCAGGCCUUCUGUCUCCUUCUUCAGGGUCCCAUUCGUGAGCCAGAGCCAGGUCUUCUCCUUAUGAGCUUUUCCUUCAAUUUUGUCAAGGAACUUUCCAUGCAGUAUUUUGUUGUGCCAGCUGCAUCCAAUCAUUAUUAUUAUUAUUAUUAUUAUUAUUAUUAUUAUUAUUAUUACCCUCAUCAUCAUCAAGGUUACCCAAGCCUCUAAAACUCCAAAUAUUCCUUUUUGCUUCCAAAGUGAUCUAGAGCUCUACCUCUUCGAAGAUUUAAUCCUUAGAAGAGGAUUAAAAAGUGUUUGAGUGCACUUGAACUCUUUUCCAGAGUAGGUCAGGUCCUGCACCAAACUACAGAGACAUUUGGUGCCAAAAUUGGACAGUUGGAGGGUAUGAAACAGCAUCAAGGUUGCCCCAGGUUCUAUAUUUUGCCUCCAAAGCAAACCAAGCUCUUUAACAGAGAAGGUUGUGUUACAGUCCGAACUGCAGAGUUUGAAUUGAGGUGAUUGGUGGCAAGAGCAAAAAGCAGCACCAAGGUUUCCUAGACUGGGAAUGUUGGAAGGCAGCAAAUCAGCAUCACUAAACCUUUGAGGAGGGAAGGGAGACAUAUGCCAGGUGGCGAGAGGGAUAAAUUGGGAAUCCACACCUUCCUCCUCCGUAGGUGAAGACGGCCGAGGAGUUACUCAUGUGUGCACGCCGUGUUUGUCUUGCGGCUUGGCGAGAGCGAGGGGAUAGGCGUCUCCGUAGUUACCCAGCAGGCGCGUCAGAGCCUCCAUUGAUAGUGAUCAGAUACGGCUUAUUAGAUGCAAAAGACAAAAUGGUUCCUCGCAGGGAAAAGGUUGGAAAGCUUUAUAUUCCUCCUCGCCCAGGCCGUCUGCUUUGCGGAGGCCUUUCUUUGAGCCACUGAAAAUGGAUGGCAUGAGUUUGCAUGGGAAAGAAGAAGAGCUGCAUCCAAUCCGGCACCUGCUUUUGGCAGCCUUUUCAACCUGGAGCUGCAGCACUUGGGAAAGUGACUUCUUUGGGAAUCUCUACAUUUGGGAACUUACGGGUUCUGGGAAGUCCAAAAAAGCAACUCCUCCAAGUUAUGAGAAUCUAUACAUUUGUGCCCUUGAAGAUGUAACUGUUGUCAAGUUCACAAUUUUUGGUCCUUGUUGGAAGGCACUUGGGAAUCUCUACAUUUGGGAAUUUAGGGGUUUCCGGGAAGUCCAGAAAAGCAACUCCUCCAAGUUAUGAGAAUCUAUACAUUUGUUCCCUUGAAGAUGUAACUGUUGUCAAGUUCACAAUUGUUGGUCCUUGUUGAAAGGCACUUGGGAAAGUUACUUCUUUGGGAAUCUCUACAUUUGGAAACUUAGGGGUUCUGGGAAGUCCAGAAAAGCAACUCCUCCAAGUUAUGAGAAUCUAUACAUUUGUUCCCUUGAAGAUGUAACUUGUCAAGAACACAAUUUUUGGUCCUUGUUGAAAGGCAUUGAGUCUUUCCAAACUUGUAAUAAUGUCCAGGGCGGGAGAAAGAACUCUUGUCUGUUGGAGGCAAGUGUGAAUGUUUCCAUGGGCCACCAUGAUUAGCAUUUAAUGGCCUUGCAGCGUCAAAGCCUGGCUGCUUCCUGUCUGGGGGAAUCAUUUGUUGGGAAGUGUUAACUGGCCAUGAUUGUUUCCUUUCUGGAAUUCCCAAUUUCCCUGCUUUCAGAGUGUUGCUCUUUAUUUACUGUCCUGGUUUUAGAGAUUAUAUCGUUCUGUAUUAUUAUACCUCUGAGAAUGCCUGCCAUAGAUGUGGGUGAAACAUCAGGAGAGAAAGCUUCUGGAGUACGGCCAUGCAGCCCGGAAAACUCAUAGCAACCCAAUACUAGAAUUUUGGAUAGGAUAGGUGAAAUUGAAUGAGUUAAGCAUGGAAGCAAUGGGAUACUAUUGCUGCUCACUUGCACAAAGGGUCAAAUAUGAACAUGCCUAUUGUGUAUCUAAGUAAGGAUCAGAAGACUGUCAGAAGAUGGAAUGAUCUUAAUUUGAUAGGAAAUACCACUGAAUAAUUAAUGCCACCUUCCACGCAGGACCAAAAUAUCCUUGGCCCCAUGGGCUUUACUAGUGGUAAGAGCUGACAGUGUCUUUUAUGAUGACAAUGUGCCCGAAAUAGAUCGCAAAUGCUGUCGGAGAGUAAGAUGGGGAAGGUGAUGCCUUGAAACAAAAUACUGUAACUGGGAAAUGGAAGUGAGACCUGGAGAAGUCAUUCUUGGGGUCAAGGACGGGAAAUGAUUGUGAAACCAAGGAUUCUGGACGUUGGGUCCUUAGGGACAUCAUUGUUAUUGGCCAUUGAGUUGAUCUUCAUCUCUGGUGACCUUCUCAAUGGGAACAAUCUGGAGUUCUGGUCAUCCAUGACCUUCUUGAGAUCUUGGACCAAUUAAUCUGUAAUUGUCAUUUUGUGCCUUCAAUUAAUGUCGACCUUAUGGAGAACCUAUCAUGAGGUUUUCUCUCUGAUUUGACGUCAACCUUAUGGAGAACCUAUCAUGAGGUUUUCUCUCUGAUUUGAUGUCAACCUUAUGGAGAACCUAUCAUGAGGAUUUCUCUCUGAUUUGAUGUCAACCUUAUGGAGAACCUAUCAUGAGGAUUUCUCUCUGAUUUGAUGUCAACCUUAUGGAGAACCUAUCAUGAGGAUUUCUCUCUGAUUUGAUGUCAACCUUACGGAGAACCUAUCAUGAGGUUUUCUCUCUGAUUUGAUGUCAACCUUAUGGAGAACCUAUCAUGAGGUUUUCUCUCUAAUUUGAUGUCGACCUUACAGAGAACCUAUCAUGAGGUUUUCUCUCUGAUUUGAUGUCAACCUUAUGGAGAACCUAUCAUGAGGUUUUCUCUCUGAUUUGAUGUCAACCUUAUGGAGAACCUAUCAUGAGGUUUUCUCUCUGAUUUGAUGU